rnacentral:rRNA from 1 species
AAGGCUUGACAUUUUACUAGCCCUUUUGAAAAAAGGGGUGUAUCUCAACAUCUUGUUGAGAAGGUAUAAACAGGUGGUGCAUGGCUGUCGUCAGCUCGUGCCGUGAGGUGUAGGGUUAAGUCCUCCAACGAGCGCAACCCUUGUUUUUAGUUGCUUUUUUGGAAACUAGAAAGACUGCCGGUGACAAGCCGGAGGAAGGAGAGGAUGACGUCAAGUCAGCAUGCCCCUUACGCCCUGGGCUACACACGUGCUAA